CUACAACUGAGGAAAAUUCAGAAAUAGUAAAAUACAUCCAUAAUAUUCCAUAUGCUAUAUUUAUAAAUUCCAAUUGGCCAUUUUAACAUAGGGCCAUUUUAAUAUAGGCGGGUAUUAAAUAGGCCAAGUGACCAAUACCAAAAGCAUAAUAAUUAAUAAAACACAAUACAUUACACCAUUAAAACUUUACUAUCGUAACUAUAUAUUUUUAAACAUUUUAUAUUUACAGUGUGCUUAAAAUUUUACAAUUAUACUUGAGCACAAUGUUUUAAUAAUAGACAACUUUAUAACAAGAAAAUGUUAAAAUGAAGAAACUUUUUAAUGGCUUCAUAAUUGACGUUUCUUCGAUAUUGUUGCUUACUUCUACUUUAUAAUUGUCCAUUCUGUUAUUUUCUUUCUUUCUAUUUGCAAAUUAUCUCCAUUAAUCCAUAGAAAACAAGCAGUUUACGUUUGUAUUUCUUCGUAUUUCCCAGGGUGCAUUCCAUGUAGAGUGCACGCCGAAGUUCCGCCGCUGGAAAAUUCGCACACGCCGCCAGACUGCCAGAUUUAUUUAAUCUAUAUUUUGGCAAAAUUUUACGGCGACCUCCCCCCCUCGCCAAAAAAAUUUCGGUCAGUGUGCCAUUUUAGGGGUCAAAAAUGUUUUCCCGACAUGUCAUCGUUAAACUCGUUAAAAAUAAAACAGCGUAAAUUUAAUUGAAUUUCAAGCGAAUCCUUCGUAGUGUUGUGGUUUAGGCGUGUGCUCGUAUUGCGUGCGCCAAGUUCUGGGAUCGAUUCCUGCUCGCGCUACUAUUUUAUUAUUUUUUUUUAUACUUUUUUUUCUUCGUGAUUUUCGCUUACGCACCGCGUACGAAACGUAUAGCGUAUCGAAUAUGUUGUUGCUUCGUUCUUAAGAAACAACGCAACCCUUUUAGUGGUUUAGUGUUAGCUUUUAAAGCGUUGUCGGAUGAAUAGCCGUGAAGCAGGAAGAUCCGGUGUCGGACGAAUAUCCACGGGGAACAAUUUUUCCCGGCAUUACCAAAUUUUCUCCAUUUAUCCAACUUUUUUUUCUUAAAUCCGAAAGUUUGGUACCAUUCUCUAAAAUUUUUGUCAAUUUAGCUCAUUCUUCUCCAAAUUCACACUUAUUUUUGUUAAUUAACUUUCUCUGGGCAUAGAAAUUACUGGAAUUUGUGUUCAUUUACCCGAAUUUCUUCUGCAAAUCUACCUGGAUUUACCUGAAAUUGCCCACAUGAGCAAUUAUUGGGGGGGGGGGGUGUUACACCCCCACACCCCCCGGUCGGCACGGCCCUGCGCGCGAGUGGUUUUAGACACAAUAAAACACGAGUCGCGAGUUUAUUGAACGGUUUCAAAAACAAUUAAUAGUAUUCUUUAUAUAAGGAAUACUAAGUAGGAAGUGUUUUAUCAAAUAUGAAACCACUGCAUGUAACAUAUUAUACUUGAUUUGGUUGGCAAAAAAGAUCAUGAAACUGUUAAGUUAUCCGAUAAACAAUAGAGACUUAACGACGAUAUUUUCUGAUUGUAUUAUAUUAAGUUUGUACGCCGUUUAGGGGAAAACUGAUACUACGCCGGCACGCCAACAUUAGCAUUUACACGCCGCUGCGCCGUAGGGCAUCGCAACUCCACGCCGAAGAUCUUCGCGUUUGGCUACAUGGAAUGCACCCUGGCGUAUUUCGAACGCGCACUCCUUGAAGGCAGCCAUAUUGCCGAAUAUAAACAUCCACUUGACGAAUAAACUUUUCAUAUUUCACUCUAUUUCCAACGACCAAUCAAAUCACUUCUGCUUCGGCUUGUCCCAG